rnacentral:pre_miRNA from 1 species
GUAGUAUUCCCUCCGUUCCAAAAUUCUUGUCUUACAUUUGUUUAGAUACGGAUGUAUCUAACACUAAAAUGUAACUAGAUACAUCUAUAUUUAGAUAAAUUUAAGACAAGAAUUUUGGGACGGAGGGAGUACAAA